rnacentral:rRNA from 1 species
AUUGAACGCUGGCGGCAGGCCUAACACAUGCAAGUCGAACGAGUGGCGGACGGGUGAGUUAUGUCUGGGAAACUGCCCGAUGGCGGGGGAUAACUACUGGAAACGGUAGCUAAUACAGCAUACCAUCGGAUGUGCCCAGAUGGGAUUAGCUAGUAGGUGGGGUACUGGCUCACCUAGGCGACGAUCCCUAGCUGGUCUGAGAGGAUGACCAGCCACACUGGAACGGAGGCACGGUCCAGACUCCUACGGGAGGCAGCAGUGGGGAAUAUUGCACAAUGGGCGCAAGCCUGAUGCAGCCAUGACGCGUGUAUGAAGAAGGCCUUCGGGUUGUAAAGUACUUUCAGCGGGGAGGCGUUACCCGCAGAAGAAGCACCGGCUAACUCCGUGCCAGCAGCCGCGGUAAUUC